GAUGAAGAACGUAGCGAAAUGCAAUAAGUAGUGUGAAUUGCAGAAUUCAGUGAAUCAUCGAAUCUUUGAACGCACAUUGCGCCCCUUGGUAUCCCGAGGGGCAUGCCUGUUCGAGCGUCAUUUCACCACUCAAGCCUGGCUUGGUGUUGGGCGACGUCCUCUUUGGGGACGCGCCUCGAAACGCUCGGCGGCGUGGCACCGGCUUUAAGCGUAGCAGAAUCUUUCGCUUUGGAAGUCGGGGCCCCGUCUGCCGGAAGACCUGCUCGCAAGGUUGACCUCGGAUCAGGCAGGGAUACCCGCUGAACUUAAGCAUAUCAAUAAGCGGAGGA
rnacentral:misc_RNA from 1 species